rnacentral:lncRNA from 1 species
AGGAAUUCCUCUAUUAACCCAGAAGUAAUACCGAGAAAGCUAGUUUACAAAAAUAAGAUAGCAUUAGAUAUCUUAACUACAGCUCAAGGGGAUACCUGUGACAUUAUAAAAACAAAAUGUUGUGUACACACUUCUAACAACUCUGCUGAUGUUUCUAAAGCCUCAAAUGGCUUCCAUUCACAAACCAAUACCACAUUGGAUUUGCCUUAAGCUUUAAUGAGUUGCUGUCUUCAUGUUUUUCAGAAACUGACCGAUAAUACUAAUUGCUUUUGUGCUAAUUGUUUGCAAGGAAACAAUGCUUUGCUGUCUUGUUUGUUGUUGUCCUACCCAUGAUCUCUGCUUUAUGUCCACCUCACUCAGUUGCCCACCAGCUGCCUCUAUGGACCUCUGUACUCCCCUGAUGCUGAAUCCUUAACUUCCCAUGUUUACCUGGUAGAAAAUCAUAAAAAAAACCUAGGCUAUCAAACUCCAACUGGUACUAUGGCAAGGCUACAAACUGAUCCCACAAAUUGACCCCAACACUCCGCUUUUUGAUCUUUACCAGACAGGGCAAAAGUUCUGUGAAUCCCAAAUAGGCAAGGACAAUAGUCCAUUGUCAGCCUGAAGCAGCUAUAAGAAGAUGAGAUCUCCAGCCCCUCAACCUCCCAAAAAGAAUUUGGGGAUCAUGUCUCUCAGGGGGAAAUGUUAGGUAGGAGUUCAGGGACCACCAAGAUGGCA